rnacentral:rRNA from 1 species
ACGAACGCUGGCGGCAUGCCUAACACAUGCAAGUCGCACGAUGCCUUCGGGCAUAGUGGCGCACGGGUGCGUAACGCGUGGGAAUCUGCCUUUCGGUUCGGAAUAACUCAGGGAAACUUGAGCUAAUACCGGAUAACGUCGCAAGACCAAAGAUUUAUCACCGAAAGAUGAGCCCGCGUAGGAUUAGCUAGUUGGUGAGGUAAAGGCUCACCAAGGCGACGAUCCUUAGCUGGUCUGAGAGGAUGAUCAGCCACACUGGGACUGAGACACGGCCCAGACUCCUACGGGAGGCAGCAGUGGGGAAUAUUGGACAAUGGGCGAAAGCCUGAUCCAGCAAUGCCGCGUGAGUGAUGAAGGCCUUAGGGUUGUAAAGCUCUUUUACCCGGGAAGAUAAUGACGGUACCGGGAGAAUAAGCCCCGGCUAACUCCGUG